GUGCCUGUGGCUCAGUGAGUAGGGCACUGGCCCCAUAUACCAGAGGUGGUGAGUUCAAACCUGGCCCUGGCCCA
rfam:Otolemur garnettii contig002711, whole genome shotgun sequence.